UGAUGUGGCCAAUAUAUUGGAGAGCAUCGGGGUACACUCACUUUCUUUAGAAAAAGUUAGCUCAUGUCACUCUGUUUGAGCUGAUUCUAUGUGUCAUUCAGGUUUGGUCUAGAAAAUGGAAGUAUCUUUACUCUUGGAAAGGUUUUGUUCAGAUUCUUCGCUCUUUACAUCAACUCAAAGUACACUUUAAAUAGCCCUCAAUGUUUUUUUUUUGUUUUGUCUCAAUAUCUGAUUUUUGAGAAAAUGGUUUUUGAUAUUUACUUUUUUUUUUUGAACACUUUGAUAUUUACUUUUGUUUACAGGAAGAAGGUUUGAGAAAGCGUUUUGGCACCUCAAGUAUCUGCAGCAGUUCCCACAAGGUACCAUAUACCCCUCGCACCCCUUAUGUAUUCGCACAGAAAUGCUUUUGAUAGCGGUUAGAUGUACGAGCUCUGCAUCAACCUUAGUAUUCACCUCUGUGUCAAUUAGAUAGGGUUAGUUCUUCGUUUUCUUUUAUGUGUAUUCAUUUGAUGAUACUGCAUCUUGAUUUAAAAUUUACAGAUCAGAUUUUACAUUAUAUGUUUUAGCUCCAAAAGUUCAUUCUGAGAAAUUCCAGAUUUUGUAUAUAAUUUGAUGUCUAUGUGAAUUUGAAGCUUCCAA